rnacentral:rRNA from 1 species
UACGGGGGGUGCGAGCGUUGUCCGGAAUCACUGGGCGUAAAGGGCGCGUAGGUGGUUUGAUAAGGGUGUGGUGAAAGUCCGGGGCUCAACCCCGGAUCUGCCGUGCCGACUGUCAAACUCGAGGGCUGUAGAGGCAGGCGGAAUUCCGGGUGUAGCGGUGGAAUGCGUAGAGAUCCGGAGGAAGACCGGUGGCGAAGGCGGCCUGCUGGGCCUUAACUGACGCUGAGGCGCGAAAGCGUGGGGAGCAAACAGG